UACUGUUCAGACAGGAAUACACAAAAUUGGAAUGAUAGAGAGAAAAUUAGCAUGUCCCCUGCACAAAGAUGACACGCAUAUUCUUGAAGUGUUCCAUAUUUUU